rnacentral:ncRNA from 1 species
GCGAAAGCAAUGAGAGGAACUAGUAGCAAGCUGGAUUUCUAAAGAGAGCCGGUGGCUGGUGCGAACCGGUGAAUGAAAGUUGUGAAUCCAUCCUCGAGCAAAGUAUAGAACGCCUCACGGCUAGUAAAUACUUUCGGUUUCAGCCGUUAUCAAUGUAAGUGGAAGGCGAAAUGAUGCCUUCAACUAGGGUGGCAACGCGGGUAACUCUCGUCCCUUUU